rnacentral:rRNA from 1 species
AAUAAACUAAAUAAAAUUACAUUUAAAUCCACCUUCAAUAAAAUUUUUCAAUUUCAUAUUCAUUUAAAUAAUUUUAUUGUAAUCCAUUAUAUUCUUAAUUAUAAUCUACAUCUUGAUCUGAAUUAAUUUUUUAUCUAAAUUUUUAAAUAUUAUUUUUUAUAAAAAAUAUUUUUUUAACAACGAUAUAUAAAAUAUUAAAUUAAGUAAAUUUAUUCGUGGAUUAUCAAUUAUUAAACAGAUUCCUCUAAAUGAACUAAAAUACCGCCAUAUUAUUUAAGUUUCAAUAAAUAAUUAUUUACUAUUUUAGUAUUAUAAUUUAAAUUUUUAAUAAUAGGGUAUCUAAU